rnacentral:pre_miRNA from 1 species
AGCCUUCUGUAUCCAUGCUAAGAUUUCUCCACACACUAGACCAAAAAGGCUGACGAGGCUUGAAAGAUAAUUGGGGCG